GAUGAAGAACGCAGCGAAAUGCGAUAAGUAAUGCGAAUUGCAGAAUUCAGUGAAUCAUCGAAUCUUUGAACGCACAUUGCGCCCGCCAGUAUUCUGGCGGGCAUGCCUGUCUGAGCGUCGUUUCGACCCUCGCGCCCGGCUUCUGUCGGGGGCGGUGUUGGGGAUCGGCCACACCCUUCAGUGGGAGGCCGGCCCCUAAAUUCAGUGGCGACCACGCUGUAGCCUCCCCUGCGUAGUACUAAAACCACCUCGCAGGCGGAGAGCGGUGCGGCCCGCCGUAAAACCCCCCAACUUUUACAAGGUCGACCUCAGAUCAGGUAGGAAUACCCGCUGAACGUAAGCAUAUCAAUAAGCGGAGGA
rnacentral:misc_RNA from 1 species